rnacentral:hammerhead_ribozyme from 1 species
GUCUAUCUGACGAGUCCCAAAUAGAACGAAACGCGUGUUCUGGAU